UACGAAGGGGGCUAGCGUUGCUCGGAAUCACUGGGCGUAAAGCGCACGUAGGCGGCUUUCUAAGUCAGGGGUGAAAUCCUGGAGCUCAAACUCCAGAACUGCCUUUGAUACUGGAGAGCUAGAGUCCGGAAGAGGUGAGUGGAACUGCGAGUGUAGAGGUGAAAUUCGUAGAUAUUCGCAAGAACACCAGUGGCGAAGGCGGCUCACUGGUCCGGUACUGACGCUGAGGUGCGAAAGCGUGGGGAGCGAACAGG
rnacentral:rRNA from 1 species